rnacentral:rRNA from 1 species
GAAUCUGGAGACAGGUGCUGCAUGGCUGUCGUCAGCUCGUGUCGUGAGAUGUUGGGUUAAGUCCCGCAACGAGCGCAACCCUUGCCUUUAGUUGCCAGCAGUUCGGCUGGGCACUCUAAAGGGACUGCCGGUGUUAAACCGGAGGAAGUGGGGAUGACGUCAAGUCCUCAUGGCCUUUAUGACCAGGGCUACACACGUACUACAAUGGCCGAUACAAAGGGCAGCGACACUGCGAGGUGAAGCCAAUCCCGUAAAAUCGGUCUCAGUCCGGAUUGGAGUCUGCAACUCGACUCCAUGAAGUUGGAAUCGCUAGUAAUCGUGGAUCAGCAUGCCACGGUGAAUACGUUCCCGGGCCUU